CACCCACAAACAAGUUAAAGGGCACGGGACGGAUCACUCCGCACCUCGCCUUCUGGACAAGCCACCGCCGCUCCGACGGCCGCUGGCUUUAUUCUCUCACACCACCGGCUCUCUCCCCACCUCUCCUUCUCUCCCAUCUCCUCUCCCUCUGGCUUCCACUAUUCCUCCAUUCUCGCACCCAAACAAAAGAUGGUUUUGGUUCUUUCUCGCGGCCAUCCACCAUAGCGACGGCUCUGGAGCCCAUCCCCAAACCAUAGCCCGAUUUCUCCUCUCGCAUCCGGUUUAGGUUUUAGGCGUCACUUCCUCACGAGCCAGCUGCGAAUCAGGCCCCUUUCUUGCCAAAACCCUAAGUAUUUCAGGAUUUCGAGACCUUGGUUUUGGAAUCUCUUCAUGCUCUGGUGGCUUAUUGCUGGGUUAUUGCUUAUCUACCGGAAUCUUGAACUCUGGAUUUUAAAUGAAUCCAUGGAUGUUGUUUAUUUCGAUAUGGGUUUGCAUUUCUGAUAGCUUCACCUUAUCAGUUGAUUGUAUAUUUGUAUCCGGGGCAUGCUGAUGAAACAAGUGAUGGUCCAUUAGAAUUAUCUAUAUACUGGAAUCUUGAACCCUAGAUUGACAUGGAAAGGGAUGUCAUUAUCUUUUUCCUUGCAUUUUGCUUUUUCUCUAUUUGCGAUGAUCGAUACAAUGAACUGAUAGAUUGUUGUUUGUCCUGAUAUGAUUUUGCUUUUGUGACUUUAUCUUGUCAAUGCCAACAAGGCUAGCGCAUACAGGGACAGUAUCAUAUUAUUUGUGCACUUUGCUUCGCCACCAUAUGUGAUCUUUCUUCUCGCUGCAUUUGCCAUCCAUUAUUAAAACAAGUGAAAAAAGAUGGUCAUGCCUUGUCUUCUAGCGAUUAAUUGCCAGGAACAACAUGUUCAUAUUAAUUAGUAUAGCGUUGUGGUUAGCAAUGUAGUCUUUUGUUAGCAUUCACAAGCUUUUGCAUCAAGGAAUACCUCUUUAACCUUCCAAGGAUUUAUUGCAAGAUAUAUUUUAGGUAUGUUUUGCACUGUUUAGUUAGAUUAUUGUUUUCUUUGUGGAUUGUUGGAGUGGAGUUUUAUUUUUAUUUCAUCUCCAAUUAUUCAUAACACUCCUUAGUGAGAUAGGUUGUUGUUUACCUUGUCCUUUCUUUCAUGAUUUUUUUGAUAUGUUGCUUGAUUGUCCUUUUUUGUUCAUUUUUGGUAGUUGUCGGUUUUCUCCUUUUUUUUUCAUUUUUUUUGUUUAUCUGUCAGCAUCAAUGAUGUUUAACCUCUUAUAGUUAUCCUUGCACUUUGAUUGCCAGUGAAGAAAUUUAUGGGGGAAAUCAUUGACUGAGAUGCUUCUUUUAUUUUUAAUUUUCUUUUUUUUUUGUUGUGUGUGUGUUGUAUCUCUGGAUCAAUGAUGCAUCCAUAAUCUGUGUUAUCUUUCUGUAACUCCUUUGAAGGAUUUGAAGAUGAUACUUAUCUUCUGAGAUCUGGUAAAAUAGAUUGUAGUAUUCUGCCAGGGUUUUUAUUUUAAGCAUUCUGGAGCAUACUUAUGGAUAACAAGAGAAUUUGUGGUUUGUUUCUCUGGCCAA